rnacentral:misc_RNA from 1 species
CAUGCACAAUGGGAGUGGUUUCCUAAAGAGGAUUUUGUGGGAUUUACGAAUUGGCUUCCCGGUCUAGAAGAAUCCCAAAAACGUUCACCAUCUAGACACUGUAUGCAGAUGUCGCUUCAUAAUGAUUUCAAGUGGGCCGCUGACAACUGCAUGCAAAAUCGAAACUUUAUAUGCGAAAUUAGCAAACAUGAAUCAUCAACAAAAGCUCCGUUUGGCCGAGGCGUGGGUUGAUAUCGUAUAUGUAUUAAAACUUAUCUAUUUUUAUACCAAUAUAAAAUUUAGGAUAUUUUGCCCAUUACUGUCGUCAAUAUGCUUUGAUAUUUCUUCAUGUUUGCUUUCAUAAGAGCAAACAUUGAAUUUACACAGAAGCCUGAAUUUUCUUACCAGAAUUGUUUACGGGUAUAAUGCUGCCAAGAUCUUAUUUGUUCGGCUCAAAUCCCUCUAUCCAGUAUUUCGUAAGCAGCAAGAACCUGUUACCUGUUUUUGAAAUGAUCGAUGGUUUGGGUGCUUUGAAUGUGAGUUAUUUCUUUGUCAUGAAGCCCAAUGAAUGAAAGUUGUCGAAAAUUUGGAGACUUUGUAAGAUUUUUCAUUCACAUAUUAAAAAAACCCAAAACAACCUACUUUAACACAUUGUAGUGUCAACAAUAACGAUUUUAUGUUUCAUGACUAGUUUAAGGAAUUUUAAAAUAAAGUUUGCAUUGGGGUAAAAAAACAAAC